rnacentral:ncRNA from 2 species
UAACGUUCUCGGGGCGGGGUGCGAUUCCCCACCGGCGGUAAUUACGUUUAGGCGUAUAGCCCGCGAGCGCUUGGCGAAGUUCUCCGUCUGCUUUCUGCAGGCGUCUUCGGCAAGGUCAGCAGACCCGGUGUGAUCCCGGGGCCGACGGUCAUAGUCCGGAUGAUAGAGAACGGAA